AUUGAACGCUGGCGGCAGGCCUAACACAUGCAAGUCGAGCGGAUGAAGGGAGCUUGCUCCUGGAUUCAGCGGCGGACGGCUGAGUAAUGCCUAGGAAUCUGCCUGGUAGUGGGGGAUAACGUCCGGAAACGGGCGCUAAUACCGCAUACGUCCUGAGGGAGAAAGUGGGGGAUCUUCGGACUUCACGCUAUCAGAUGAGCCUAGGUCGGAUUAGCUAGUUGGUGGGGUAAAGGCCUACCAAGGCGACGAUCCGUAACUGGUCUGAGAGGAUGAUCAGUCACACUGGAACUGAGACACGGUCCAGACUCCUACGGGAGGCAGCAGUGGGGAAUAUUGGGCAUUGGGCGAAAUCCUGAUCCAGCCAUGCCGCGUGUGUGAAGAAGGUCUUCGGAUUGUAAAGCACUUUAAGUUGGGAGGAAGGGCAGUAAGUUAAUACCUUGCUGUUUUGACGUUACCAACAGAAUAAGCACCGGCUAACUUCGUG
rnacentral:rRNA from 1 species